GACGAACGCUGGCGGCGUGCCUAAUACAUGCAAGUCGAACGCACUCUCGUUUAGAUUGAAGGAGUUUGCUCCUGAUUGAUAAACAUUUGAGUGAGUGGCGGACGGGUGAGUAACACGUGGGUAACCUGCCCUAAAGUGGGGGAUAACAUUUGGAAACAGAUGCUAAUACCGCAUAAAACCUAACACCGCAUGGUGUAGGGUUGAAAGAUGGUUUCGGCUAUCACUUUAGGAUGGACCCGCGGUGCAUUAGUUAGUUGGUGAGGUAAAGGCUCACCAAGACCGCGAUGCAUAGCCGGUCUGAGAGGGUAAUCGGCCACACUGGGACUGAGACACGGCCCAGACUCCUACGGGAGGCAGCAGUAGGGAAUUUUGCACAAUGGGCGAAAGUCUGAUGGAGCAACGCCGCGUGAGUGAAGAAGGUUUUCGGAUCGUAAAGCUCUGUUGUUGGAGAAGAAUGUAACUGAGAGAAACUGAUCAGGUAGUGACGGUAUCCAAAGAGAAAGCAACGGCUAACUACGUG
rnacentral:rRNA from 1 species